rnacentral:rRNA from 1 species
UGGAGGAAAGCAGGGGAUCGUAAGACCUUGCGCUUUUGGAGCGGCCGAUGUCUGAUUAGCUAGUUGGUGGGGUAAUGGCCUACCAAAGCUUCGAUCAGUAGCUGGUCUGAGAGGACGGCCAGCCACACUGGGACUGAGACACGGCCCAGACUCCUACGGGAGGCAGCAGUGGGGAAUUUUGGACAAUGGGCGCAAGCCUGAUCCAGCCAUGCCGCGUGAGUGAAGAAGGCCUUCGGGUUGUAAAGCUCUUUCAGCCGGGAAGAAAAGGCCGCGACUAAUAAUCGCAGUUCAUGACGGUACCGGAAGAAGAAGCACCGGCUAACUACGUGCCAGCAGCCGCGGUAGUACGUAGGGUGCGAGCGUUAAUCGGAAUUACUGGGCGUAAAGGGUGCGCAGGCGGUUUUGUAAGUCAGAUGUGAAAUCCCCGGGCUUA